ensembl:rRNA 5S_rRNA 5S ribosomal RNA
GUCUACGGCCAUGCCACCCUGAAUGCGCCCAAUCUCUUCUGAUCUUGGAAGCUAAGCAAGGUACCUCAGACCUGGUUAGUGCUUGGUUGGGAGAUCCCCCAUUACUUUUUCUGUAGAUU